rnacentral:rRNA from 1 species
AACGCACCUUGCGCUCCUUGGUAUUCCGAGGAGCAUGCCUGUUUGAGUGUCAUGGUAUUCUCAAUCCAUUUGGUUCUGUGAAAAGAAUUAAAUGGACUUGGAUGUGGAGGACUGUGCUGGUCUUGUUUUUGAUCAGCUCCUCUGAAAUGUAUCAGCAUGAUUAAUUGCUGCCUUCGGUGUGAUAAUUAUCUACGCCGUAUGGUUUAGCUUUACUAUAAUUUAUGCUUCUAAUCGUCCACUUUGUUGGACAAUUCUAUUGACAUCUGACCUCAAAUCAGGUAGGACUACCCGCUGAACUUAA